rnacentral:rRNA from 1 species
CGCGAGUCCUCGGGUCUUGAACAGGCCCGGAGGCGCAGUGAAAGCGAAGUCCGGGAGGCCGCUCCCGGAGCCAGUCGGGACCCCGGCGGCCGCCGCCGGGAGCACCGACGACCCGUCCCGUCCGGUUCCACCGGUGGGGCGGAGUCGGAGCGCGCGCGUUGGGACCCGAAAGAUGGUGAACUAUGCCCGGGCAGGGCGAAGCCAGAGGAAACUCUGGUGGAGGCCCGCAGCGCUUCUGACGUGCAAAUCGAUCGUCAGACCUGGGUAUAGGGGCGAAAGACUAAUCGAACCAUCUAGUAGCUGGUUCCCUCCGAAGUUUCCCUCAGGAUAGCUGGCGCUCGGAGCAGACUUCAGUCUCAUCCGGUAAAGCGAAUGACUAGAGGCAUUGGGGCCGAAACGACCUCAACCUAUUCUCAAACUUUAAAUGGGUGAAGCGCCCGGCUUUCGUGAACGAAGCCCGGGACGGAAGGAUGAGAGCGCCCAGUGGGCCACUUUUGGUAAGCAGAACUGGCG